rnacentral:snRNA from 1 species
GUCCCUUCGGGGACAUCCGAAAAAAUUGGAACGAUACAGAGAAGAUCAGCAAGGAUGACACGCAUAAAUCGAAAAAUGGUCCAAAAUUUU